AGAUGAGAGAAACACCCCGCUCGCAGGGGACUGCGGGCGACGCCCGGUCGGCGCUUCCCCGGCUCCGAUCAGGCCGUGCCCUCGCGCACAACACCGGAACCCCCGGUUCCGGGAAUCCUCACCGAUCGGA
rnacentral:ncRNA from 1 species